rnacentral:rRNA from 1 species
GAUGAACGCUGGCGGCGUGCCUAAUACAUGCAAGUCGAGCGAAUGGAUUAAGAGCUUGCUCUUAUGAAGUUAGCGGCGGACGGGUGAGUAACACGUGGGUAACCUGCCCAUAAGACUGGGAUAACUCCGGGAAACCGGGGCUAACACCGGAUAACAUUUUGAACCGCAUGGUUCGAAAUUGAAAGGCGGCUUCGGCUGUCACUUAUGGAUGGACCCGCGUCGCAUUAGCUAGUUGGUGAGGUAACGGCUCACCAAGGCAACGAUGCGGAGCCGACCUGGGAGGGUGAUCGGCCACACUGGGACUGAGAAACGGCCCAGACUCCUACGGGAGGCAGCAGUAGGGAAUCUUCCGCAAUGGACGAAAGUCUGACGGAGCAACGCCGCGUGAGUGAUGAAGGCUUUCGGGUCGUAAAACUCUGUUGUUAGGGAAGAACAAGUGCUAGUUGAAUAAGCUGGCACCUUGACGGUACCUAACCAGAAAGCCACAGCUAACUACGUGCCAGCCGCCGCCGUAA